AGCUCUGUAGUUGAAGAACAACAGUAAGCUGCAGUCUUGCUAGUGGUGGAUUAUGAACCCCCCAGAGCUU